UAGGAAGAUCACACAUGCUGAAUAUAUUUAUUUCUUGAUAAACAAGCUAAAAGAUUUUUUCCUUCAAAUUCUCAACACUUUCCUCGGAUUUUCCUUGUAACGUAAUCGUACAUAUCUCUUCUCCUUUAUAUUCUUAACACUGCGAUACUCUGCUUCUUCACCUCUCUUCUUCUUUAAUUUUCUCUCCUUCCAUUUUCCUUUCUUUCUCCACUUAACCAUGAACUCCAACACCAACUCCCUUCUUCUUCAAGCCCUUAAAGUGGCAAUCAUAUUGAUCCUCACCCUCACUGCUGCUAAUUCUUUGACAGCUGAAGCAAGAACUCUGCAUCAUGCAAAGGAAUCCUUUGCAGUUAAGAAGGUGGAGGUGGCCAUUCCAGAGAAAAAUGGCGACCCUAAAACAUCAAGCCCUAACCCUUGCACUAAUCUCCCCGUAACAGAUCCUGGGCAUUGCCCCAAGAAUUAGUGGGAGUUCACAUGCAUUCCUGCGUAUAUGUUUGGUUGGAGUGCCAAAAAGAAGUCUCCACGUUAGAUAUCUGGCAUGGUUGUAAAUGGAAAUCUCUCACUUUCAGCUUCUUUUGUCUUUUAUAUAGUUUCCCUUUUUCAUUUAUUCUUCUCGUUUCUUGCUCUUGCUUUCUUAAAUUAGCUAAUAUAAGUUGUACGCUUUUAUAUAUAUAGAAAGUUGUAAGUAUGCUUGCUAUGUUUAUCUCCAUAUCCAAAGCCACAUUUAUUUUAUGUUUAC
rnacentral:lncRNA from 1 species